rnacentral:rRNA from 1 species
GAUUAACGCUGGCGGCGUGCCUAAUACAUGCAAGUCGAGCGAACAGACGAGGAGCUUGCUCCUCUGACGUUAGCGGCGGACGGGUGAGUAACACGUGGAUAACCUACCUAUAAGACUGGGAUAACUUCGGGAAACCGGAGCUAAUACCGGAUAAUAUAUUGAACCGCAUGGUUCAAUAGUGACAGACGGUUUUGCUGUCACUUAUAGAUGGAUCCGCGCCGCAUUAGCUAGUUGUUAAGGUAACGGCUUACCAAGGCGACGAUGCGUAGCCGACCUGAGAGGGUGAUCGGGCACACUGGAACUGAGACACGGUCCAGAAUCCUACGGGAGGAAGCAGUAGGGAAUCUUCCGCAAUGGGCGAAAGACUGACGGAGCAACGCCGCGUGAGUGAUGAAGGUCUUCGGAUCGUAAAACUCUGUUAUUAGGGAAGAACAAAUGUGUAAGUAACUAUGCACGUCUUGACGGUACCUAAUCAGAAAGACACGGCUAACUACGUG